GUGACGCAGUGUUGUCGUCUCGUAGGCUUGAAAGAUUGGAUACAAUCAGUGAUGCACAUUUACCAGACAGAGGAUGUGCAGCGUUUACUGUUGAUUUCUCUCUUUUCCUCCCUAUCACCUCAGUUUAGUUCCAGGAUCCACACUCCUCCACCAUAGUCAGGAGAUUCAGGGAAAGUUGGCAGGGUUCAGCUUUCAAGUUGACCCUUGAUGAACCAUGGUCAAUCCUGUUAAGAGGCGUGAAAGCCAAUCCCAGCCAAUGAGACUGGGGAGAAAUCACUGAAGAACUUGUGGAAAACAGACCCUCUGGAUAAAAGACACGUGUGGGGAAAAAGGGGCUUUUUAAUGUUAUUCUGGAUGUUUCCCAAAAGUACUGCUGCUGCCUUGCCUCCCUGACAGACACUGGCCUUAGGAUGACAUGCGGCAGGAAGGAAGGACGGAUCUGGGGUUUUUCAAGACUCACUGAGAUGCACAAGGAACCAACCCUCAAGUAGCCAACUCGUUCCUGUUUGCAUGUGUCGACUGAAAAGAAUCAAAAUAAACAAAAUAUAACUAUUUCUAAGAGGUUACAACUUGCAGGCAGGAAGCAGGCCUCUACCUGAGGCCAUAAAGCAUACUUUGAAGGAGAAAAGGUAGGUAUUUAUGCUAGGUGGAGAGGUAGGAUAUACGUAUUCUGUAGCAUACAGGAGAAGCCUAUGAAAAUUCAUGGAGGAAACUCGUUAGAGACACGCACUGGGCUUACAUAUGAAGAAUAUCCAAAAGCGGAUGACCUGUGUUCACUCUGGGGUGAAGAUUUAACAUUUAAAUGUAUUAUAAUUAGGCUGUAAAUGCAAAAAGGUGAAACAUAGGGCACAAGUUCACGAUCUGUGCAAUCUCCAGAGACCAGUCUGAUCUAGCCUGCAGCUGGCAGUCAUCUGUCAAGAAGGGGCUCUUUGUAGCCCAGAGUAGCUGUCAGGUUGGAACCAUAAAACCAAAAGGAGGGCAUCGGCGGUUAGGUGAAGAAAAGAAGUCUUUUGGCCUUUUUUCCUCUUCAAGUCAGCUUUUGAUAAGAUCUAGUAAUAAUAAGGGGAUGGGUGUGGCUGCAGGUGGGACAUGUCGGUUCUCUGUCCUGUCACAGCUAAGAACUAAGAACUUUAGAGUCUUUCAGCCAUAGAGGGUCCUGUCAUCCAUUGAAGGGAUCAGUCCAUUGGGAUUUUGCCAGUUUUAGCAUUGAUGCUGUGUCCUGGGAAACCCCUGAAUACUUAUCAUAGCAGAAGUUCAGCCACUGUAGCCCUACCUCAGGACCGCUUUUAUGGGAAAGAAUAAUUCCUUUAACUGCUUGAGCCAUUUGAGUUGUGGCUGCUUUUGGUACUUGUAAUAAAUUGAAAGCAUCUUGAAUGUUCUGGGACAGUAAAAGAAUGUGCCUUUGUUUCUGACAGCAAUUAUAAAAUCAAUUAUAUGUUUAUAUUCUAAAAAAUGUUUUGAGUAAUGCUGACAUCAUUGGAAAAGUGCAUCACUUAGAAAAUGUAUCUGUGUGUCAAUUUUGUUUGUUCAAAAUCAGUUUCAUUAAUUUGUGGGAAGAUACACCUUGUACAUUUUACCUAAUUAAAAAAAAUAUUGCCAGUUGAG
rnacentral:lncRNA from 1 species